AAUUUUGGACCAUGGGGGCAACCCUGAUCCAGCCAUCCCGCGUGUGCGAUGAAGGCCUUUGGGUUGUAAAGCACUUUUGGCAGGGAAGAAAAGGCUCUGGCUAAUACCUGGAGCUGCUGACGGUACCUUCAGAAUAAGCACCGGCUAUCUUCGUGCCAGCAGCCGCGGUAAUACGUAGGGUGCAAGAGUUAAUCGGAAUUACUGGGCGUAAAGAGUGCGCAGGCGGUUCGGAAAGAAGGAUGUGAAAUCCCAGGGCUUAACCUUGGGACUGCAUUCUUGACUGCCGGGCUAGAGUAUGUAAGAGGGGGGUAGAAUUCCGCGUGUAGCAGUGAAAUGCGUAGAGAUGCGGAGGAAUACGGAUGGCGAAGGCAGCCCCCUGGGAUAAUACUGACGCUCAUGCACGAAAGCGUGGGGAGCAAAC
rnacentral:rRNA from 1 species